AAAUUGAAGAGUUUGAUCAUGGCUCAGAUUGAACGCUGGCGGCAGGCCUAACACAUGCAAGUCGAGCGGAAACGAGUUAUCUGAACCUUCGGGGAACGAUAACGGCGUCGAGCGGCGGACGGGUGAGUAAUGCCUAGGAAAUUGCCCUGAUGUGGGGGAUAACCAUUGGAAACGAUGGCUAAUACCGCAUAAUGCCUACGGGCCAAAGAGGGGGACCUUCGGGCCUCUCGCGUCAGGAUAUGCCUAGGUGGGAUUAGCUAGUUGGUGAGGUAAGGGCUCACCAAGGCGACGAUCCCUAGCUGGUCUGAGAGGAUGAUCAGCCACACUGGAACUGAGACACGGUCCAGACUCCUACGGGAGGCAGCAGUGGGGAAUAUUGCACAAUGGGCGCAAGCCUGAUGCAGCCAUGCCGCGUGUGUGAAGAAGGCCUUCGGGUUGUAAAGCACUUUCAGUCGUGAGGAAGGUAGUGUAGUUAAUAGCUGCAUUAUUUGACGUUAGCGACAGAAGAAGCACCGGCUAACUCCGUGCCAGCAGCCGCGGUAAUACGGAGGGUGCGAGCGUUAAUCGGAAUUACUGGGCGUAAAGCGCAUGCAGGUGGUUUGUUAAGUCAGAUGUGAAAGCCCGGGGCUCAACCUCGGAAUUGCAUUUGAAACUGGCAGACUAGAGUACUGUAGAGGGGGGUAGAAUUUCAGGUGUAGCGGUGAAAUGCGUAGAGAUCUGAAGGAAUACCGGUGGCGAAGGCGGCCCCCUGGACAGAUACUGACACUCAGAUGCGAAAGCGUGGGGAGCAAACAGGAUUAGAUACCCUGGUAGUCCACGCCGUAAACGAUGUCUACUUGGAGGUUGUGGCCUUGAGCCGUGGCUUUCGGAGCUAACGCGUUAAGUAGACCGCCUGGGGAGUACGGUCGCAAGAUUAAAACUCAAAUGAAUUGACGGGGGCCCGCACAAGCGGUGGAGCAUGUGGUUUAAUUCGAUGCAACGCGAAGAACCUUACCUACUCUUGACAUCCAGAGAACUUUCCAGAGAUGGAUUGGUGCCUUCGGGAACUCUGAGACAGGUGCUGCAUGGCUGUCGUCAGCUCGUGUUGUGAAAUGUUGGGUUAAGUCCCGCAACGAGCGCAACCCUUAUCCUUGUUUGCCAGCGAGUAAUGUCGGGAACUCCAGGGAGACUGCCGGUGAUAAACCGGAGGAAGGUGGGGACGACGUCAAGUCAUCAUGGCCCUUACGAGUAGGGCUACACACGUGCUACAAUGGCGCAUACAGAGGGCAGCCAACUUGCGAAAGUGAGCGAAUCCCAAAAAGUGCGUCGUAGUCCGGAUCGGAGUCUGCAACUCGACUCCGUGAAGUCGGAAUCGCUAGUAAUCGUGGAUCAGAAUGCCACGGUGAAUACGUUCCCGGGCCUUGUACACACCGCCCGUCACACCAUGGGAGUGGGCUGCAAAAGAAGUAGGUAGUUUAACCUUCGGGAGGACGCUUACCACUUUGUGGUUCAUGACUGGGGUGAAGUCGUAACAAGGUAGCGCUAGGGGAACCUGGCGCUGGAUCACCUCCUUAUACGAUGAU
rnacentral:rRNA from 1 species